rnacentral:rRNA from 1 species
CACGCUGUAAACGAUGGAUACUAGGUGUGGGGGGUCUGACCCCCUCCGUGCCGCAGUUAACACAAUAAGUAUCCCACCUGGGGAGUACGAUCGCAAGGUUGAAACUCAAAGGAAUUGACG